UCCCUCGGGGCCCAUGAGUUGAUGUACCUCGAUGUUUGUUUAUGUUCCUAAGCCCUUCGGGCUCAGCUUAAUGUAUAAUUUUGAGUUGUU